rnacentral:rRNA from 1 species
UGGAAUCGCUAGUAAUCGUAGAUCAGCAUGCUACGGUGAAUACGUUCCCGGGUCUUGUACACACCGCCCGUCACACCACGAGAGUUUGUAACACCCGAAGCCGGUGGAGUAACCAUUUGGAGCUAGCCGUCGAAGGUGGGACAAAUGAUUGGGGUGAAGUCGUAACAAGGUAGCCGUAUCGGAAGGUGCGGCUGGAUCACCUCCUUU